rnacentral:rRNA from 1 species
CGCUGGCGGCGUGCCUAAUACAUGCAAGUCGUACGCUUCUUUUUCCACCGGAGCUUGCUCCACCGGAAAAAGAAGAGUGGCGAACGGGUGAGUAACACGUGGGUAACCUGCCCAUCAGAAGGGGAUAACACUUGGAAACAGGUGCUAAUACCGUAUAACAAUCGAAACCGCAUGGUUUUGAUUUGAAAGGCGCUUUCGGGUGUCGCUGAUGGAUGGACCCGCGGUGCAUUAGCUAGUUGGUGAGGUAACGGCUCACCAAGGCCACGAUGCAUAGCCGACCUGAGAGGGUGAUCGGCCACAUUGGGACUGAGACACGGCCCAAACUCCUACGGGAGGCAGCAGUAGGGAAUCUUCGGCAAUGGACGAAAGUCUGACCGAGCAACGCCGCGUGAGUGAAGAAGGUUUUCGGAUCGUAAAACUCUGUUGUUAGAGAAGAAUAAGGAUGAGAGUAACUGUUCAUCCCUUGACGGUAUCUAACCAGAAAGCCACGGCUAACUACGUGCCAGCAGCCGCGGUAAUACGUAGGUGGCAAGCGUUGUCCGGAUUUAUUGGGCGUAAAGCGAGCGCAGGCGGUUUCUUAAGUCUGAUGUGAAAGCCCCCGGCUCAACCGGGGAGGGUCAUUGGAAACUGGGAGACUUGAGUGCAGAAGAGGAGAGUGGAAUUCCAUGUGUAGCGGUGAAAUGCGUAGAUAUAUGGAGGAACACCAGUGGCGAAGGCGGCUCUCUGGUCUGUAACUGACGCUGAGGCUCGAAAGCGUGGGGAGCAAACAGGAUUAGAUACCCUGGUAGUCCACGCCGUAAACGAUGAGUGCUAAGUGUUGGAGGGUUUCCGCCCUUCAGUGCUGCAGCUAACGCAUUAAGCACUCCGCCUGGGGAGUACGACCGCAAGGUUGAAACUCAAAGGAAUUGACGGGGGCCCGCACAAGCGGUGGAGCAUGUGGUUUAAUUCGAAGCAACGCGAAGAACCUUACCAGGUCUUGACAUCCUUUGACCACUCUAGAGAUAGAGCUUCCCCUUCGGGGGCAAAGUGACAGGUGGUGCAUGGUUGUCGUCAGCUCGUGUCGUGAGAUGUUGGGUUAAGUCCCGCAACGAGCGCAACCCUUAUUGUUAGUUGCCAUCAUUCAGUUGGGCACUCUAGCAAGACUGCCGGUGACAAACCGGAGGAAGGUGGGGAUGACGUCAAAUCAUCAUGCCCCUUAUGACCUGGGCUACACACGUGCUACAAUGGGAAGUACAACGAGUCGCGAAGUCGCGAGGCUAAGCUAAUCUCUUAAAGCUUCUCUCAGUUCGGAUUGUAGGCUGCAACUCGCCUACAUGAAGCCGGAAUCGCUAGUAAUCGCGGAUCAGCACGCCGCGGUGAAUACGUUCCCGGGCCUUGUACACACCGCCCGUCACACCACGAGAGUUUGUAACACCCGAAGUCGGUGAGGUAACCUUUUGGAGCCAGCCGCCUAAGGUGGGAUAGAUGAUUGGGG